GUGAGGGAUAUUGGUCAAUGGUCGGAAGACUGAACCAGCCAUGCCGCGUGAGGUAGGAAGGCCCUACGGGUCGUAAGCCUCUUUUACCCGGGGACAAGGGCGCCCACGCGAUGGGUGCUUGAGGGUACCGGGGGAAUAAGCGUCGGCUAACUCCGUGCCAGCAGCCGCGGUAAUACGGAGGACGCGAGCGUUAUCCGGAUUCAUUGGGUUUAAAGGGUGCGCAGGCGGCCUGUCAAGUCAGCGGUGAAAGCCCGGGGCCCAACCCCGGAAGUGCCGUUGAUACUGUCGGGCUGGAAUGCGGUCGAGGCGGGCGGAACGUGGCGUGUAGCGGUGAAAUGCGUAGAUAUGCCACAGAACGCCGAUAGCGGAGGCAGCUCGCCAGGCCUGCAUUGACGCUCGGGCACGAAAGCGUGGGGAUCGAACAGG
rnacentral:rRNA from 1 species